rnacentral:tRNA from 1 species
GAAGAUACAGCUCAGGGCUAGAGUGUGUGCUUAGCAUGCAUAAGGUUCUGGGUUCAAUUCCCAGCAACUCCA